UACGAAGGGGGCUAGCGUUGCUCGGAAUCACUGGGCGUAAAGCGCACGUAGGCGGAUUGCUAAGUCAGGGGUGAAAUCCUGGAGCUCAACUCCAGAACUGCCUUUGAUACUGAGAGUCUCGAGUCCGGGAGAGGUGAGUGGAACUGCGAGUGUAGAGGUGAAAUUCGUAGAUAUUCGCAAGAACACCAGUGGCGAAGGCGGCUCACUGGCCCGGUACUGACGCUGAGGUGCGAAAGCGUGGGGAGCAAACAGG
rnacentral:rRNA from 1 species